rnacentral:rRNA from 1 species
UACGUAGGGUGCGAGCGUUAAUCGGAAUUACUGGGCGUAAAGCGUGCGCAGGCGGUUUUGUAAGUCUGACGUGAAAUCCCCGGGCUUAACCUGGGAAUUGCGUUGGAGACUGCAAGGCUGGAGUCUGGCAGAGGGGGGUAGAAUUCCACGUGUAGCAGUGCAAUGCGUAGAGAUGUGGAGGAACACCGAUGGCGAAGGCAGCCCCCUGGGUCAAGACUGACGCUCAUGCACGAAAGCGUGGGGAGCAAACAGG